rnacentral:rRNA from 1 species
UACGGAGGGGACUAGCGUUGUUCGGAAUUACUGGGCGUAAAGCGCACGUAGGCGGAUUUGUAAGUCAGGGGUGAAAUCCCGGGGCUCAACCUCGGAACUGCCUUUGAUACUGCAAAUCUCGAGUCCGGAAGAGGUGAGUGGAAUUCCUGGUGUAGCGGUGAAAUGCGCAGAUAUCAGGAAGAACACCCGUGGCGAAGGCGGCUCUCUGGGACGGUACUGACGCUGAGACGCGAAAACGUGGGGAGCGAACAGG